GGCCUGGUGGUCUAGUAGUAUGAUUCCUUGUUAGGGCGGUAGUCAAUUUCGAGGAGGUCCCGGGUUCAAUUCCCGGCCAGGCCC
rnacentral:tRNA from 2 species